AAGGAAGGAGAGUCAGCAAGCACCUGGCUGGCCCAGGCUUCAGCUGUCCUCCUUUCUGUAG
ensembl:miRNA Mir6999 microRNA 6999